rnacentral:tRNA from 1 species
CGGCGCGUGGUGGAAUUGGUAUACACAACAGACUUAAAAUCUGUCCCGCUUUGCGGUUGCGAGUUCGAGUCUCGCCGCGCCGACCA